GGGCUGUUGGUCUAGUGGUAUGAUUCUCGCUUUGGGUGCGAGAGGUCCCGGGUUCAAACCCCGGACAGCCCC
rnacentral:tRNA from 1 species